GGCGGGCUGUCGAUCGAAGAAGAUGGGGCGGGGAGAGCGGCGGCGGCCGGAGGGGGCUGGAGCGGCGGUCGUACAAGGCUGGGGCGGCGACGAGGGUUUGAGAUUUGGUGCAAUUUCACACUUAAUUGAUUUGUUGAUUUGCUGGAGUGGUGAUUUGGUGAAGGGAAGACCGAUUUGCUGGAGUCGAAUUGGGGAUUUGGAGCGAUUUGCUGGAGUGUGAGAUUUGGAGCGAAAACAUACGAGUAAUGGCGGGAGUUGCUCAAUAUAUUUUUUAGUAUAAUAAUUUAGUUAAAAAAAAAAAACCUCAUAGAUAACAGUAAGGAAUAACGGUUGGAACUACCGUUAUAAAUCACGCUCAUAUAUAACGAUAUUCUUAACGC
rnacentral:lncRNA from 1 species